UACGUAGGGUGCAAGCGUUGUCCGGAAUUAUUGGGCGUAAAGAGCUUGUAGGCGGUUUGUCGCGUCUGCUGUGAAAUUUCGGGGCUCAACCCCGAACUUGCAGUGGGUACGGGCAGACUAGAGUGUGGUAGGGGGAGACUGGAAUUCCUGGUGUAGCGGUGAAAUGCGCAGAUAUCAGGAGGAACACCGAUGGCGAAGGCAGGUCUCUGGGCCGAUACUGACGCUGAGGAGCGAAAGCGUGGGGAGCGAACAGG
rnacentral:rRNA from 1 species